rnacentral:rRNA from 1 species
CCUACGUGCGGCAGCAGUGGGGAAUAUUGGACAAUGGGCGAAAGCCUGAUCCAGCCAUGCCGCGUGUGUGAAGAAGGCCUUCGGGUUGUAAAGCACUUUCAGUGGGGAAGAAAGCCUUGGGGCUAAUACCCUCGAGGAAGGACAUCACCCACAGAAGAAGCACCGGCUAACUCCGUGCCAGCAGCCGCGGUAAUACGGAGGGUGCGAGCGUUAAUCGGAAUUACUGGGCGUAAAGCGCGCGUAGGCGGUCUGAUAAGCCGGUUGUGAAAGCCCCGGGCUCAACCUGGGAACGGCAUCCGGAACUGUCAGGCUAGAGUGCAGGAGAGGAAGGUAGAAUUCCCGGUGUAGCGGUGAAAUGCGUAGAUAUCGGGAGGAAUACCAGUGGCGAAGGCGGCCUUCUGGACUGACACUGACGCUGAGGUGCGAAAGCGUGGGUAGCGAACAGGAUUAGAUACCCUUGUAGUC